rnacentral:rRNA from 1 species
UACAGAGGGUGCGAGCGUUGUUCGGAAUUAUUGGGCGUAAAGGGCGCGUAGGCGGUUCGCUGAGUUGGAUGUGAAAACUCUGGGCUCAACCCAGAGCCUGCAUCCAAAACUGGCGGGCUAGAGUUCUGGAGGGGGUAGCGGAAUUCCUGGUGUAGCGGUGAAAUGCGUAGAUAUCAGGAGGAACACCGGUGGCGAAGGCGGCUACCUGGACAGAAACUGACGCUGAGGCGCGAAAGCUAGGGGAGCAAACAGG